UUAAAGAGUGCGUAACAGCUCACUGGUCGAGCGACAGAGCAUCGAUAAUAAUCGGGCAUCAAGUAUAGUACCGAAGCUUAGGAUGUAUUUAUACAUGGUAGGGGAGCAUUCUCUGGGCGGCGAAGGUAAACUGUAAGGUUUUCUGGAGCGCAGAGAAGUGCAAAUGUAGGCAUAAGUAACGAUAAUGCGGGUGAGAAACCCGCACACCGAUAGACUAAGGUUUCCCCGGCAAUGCUAAUCAGCCGGGGGUUAGUCAGGACCUAAGGCGAACCCGAAAGG
rnacentral:rRNA from 1 species